UUCAGUUACUCAUAUAGUUAAACUUGCAAUGAGUUUAUUUGAUUCUACAAAUGAAAAUAUAAGGCAAGUUAUAAUAAAUUUAAAGCUUGGAAGAUUAAUUAAUACAGCAAUAGCGAAAACCAAUUAAAUGAAUUCGAACACGAAGCCAAUUAACGAAUUAACGAUCGUCAUUAGUUUAAUAUUAAAACACAGUUGACGUUAUUCAUGGCGUUAUCAAAUAAGGAUCAAAUAUGGUAUUGGCGAAGACUAAGAG